rnacentral:rRNA from 1 species
GAUGAACGCUGGCGGCGUGCCUAAUACAUGCAAGUCGAGCGAACGGACGAGAAGCUUGCUUCUCUGAUGUUAGCGGCGGACGGGUGAGUAACACGUGGAUAACCUACCUAUAAGACUGGGAUAACUUCGGGAAACCGGAGCUAAUACCGGAUAAUAUUUUGAACCGCAUGGUUCAAAAGUGAAAGACGGUCUUGCUGUCACUUAUAGAUGGAUCCGCGCUGCAUUAGCUAGUUGGUAAGGUAACGGCUUACCAAGGCAACGAUGCAUAGCCGACCUGAGAGGGUGAUCGGCCACACUGGAACUGAGACACGGUCCAGACUCCUACGGGAGGCAGCAGUAGGGAAUCUUCCGCAAUGGGCGAAAGCCUGACGGAGCAACGCCGCGUGAGUGAUGAAGGUCUUCGGAUCGUAAAACUCUGUUAUUAGGGAAGAACAUAUGUGUAAGUAACUGUGCACAUCUUGACGGUACCUAAUCAGAAAGCCACGGCUAACUACGUGCCAGCAGCCGCGGUAAUACGUAGGUGGCAAGCGUUAUCCGGAGUUAUUGGGCGUAAAGCGCGCGUAGGCGGUUUUUUAAGUCUGAUGUGAAAGCCCACGGCUCAACCCGUGGAGGGUCAUUGGAAACUGGAAAACUUGAGUGCAGAAGAGGAAAGUGGAAUUCCAUGUGUAGCGGUGAAAUGCGCAGAGAUAUGGAGGAACACCAGUGGCGAAGGCGACUUUCUGGUCUGUAACUGACGCUGAUGUGCGAAAGCGUGGGGAUCAAACAGGAUUAGAUACCCUGGUAGUCCACGCCGUAAACGAUGAGUGCUAAGUGUUAGGGGGUUUCCGCCCCUUAGUGCUGCAGCUAACGCAUUAAGCACUCCGCCUGGGGAGUACGACCGCAAGGUUGAAACUCAAAGGAAUUGACGGGGACCCGCACAAGCGGUGGAGCAUGUGGUUUAAUUCGAAGCAACGCGAAGAACCUUACCAAAUCUUGACAUCCUUUGACAACUCUAGAGAUAGAGCCUUCCCCUUCGGGGGACAAAGUGACAGGUGGUGCAUGGUUGUCGUCAGCUCGUGUCGUGAGAUGUUGGGUUAAGUCCCGCAACGAGCGCAACCCUUAAGCUUAGUUGCCAUCAUUAAGUUGGGCACUCUAAGUUGACUGCCGGUGACAAACCGGAGGAAGGUGGGGAUGACGUCAAAUCAUCAUGCCCCUUAUGAUUUGGGCUACACACGUGCUACAAUGGACAAUACAAAGGGCAGCGAAACCGCGAGGUCAAGCAAAUCCCAUAAAGUUGUUCUCAGUUCGGAUUGUAGUCUGCAACUCGACUACAUGAAGCUGGAAUCGCUAGUAAUCGUAGAUCAGCAUGCUACGGUGAAUACGUUCCCGGGUCU